AAUGGGAAUUUGUAUAGGCAAGGAA
rnacentral:piRNA from 1 species